rnacentral:rRNA from 1 species
GGACUAAAGACCCGUGAAGCUGACCGGUACUAAUAGGCCGAUAACUUACACCACA